rnacentral:rRNA from 1 species
UACGAAGGCCCCCAAGCGUUAUCCGGAAUUACUGGGUGUAAAGCGUCUGUAGGCGGAAAUAUAAGUCUCUCAUGAAAGACCGAAGCUCAACUUCGCGUUUGUGAGGGAUACUGUAUUUCUAGAAUUAGGGGGAGGGAAGCAGAAUUGUAUGAGUAGGGGUGCAAUCCGUUGAUACAUACAAGAAUACCAAAAGCGAAGGCAGCUUCCUGGAACUAUAUUGACGCUGAGAGACGAAAGCGUGGGGAGCGAAAGGGAUUAGAUACCCGGGUAGU